CUUGCACUCGGACAUUGGCCCCAUAAAUAUGCAGCCAGAAGGGACGUUCAGAUUUCUGAGCACAUAUAGUUACCAGCCAAUAACCUAUAGUUCCAAAUUUUUCCCCGAAAAGGACAAUAAAAGUAAGGUAAUUAUGAUGAACCUCUGGUGGCCACAGUACUUAUUAUCACUGUACACUGCAAUAACUAAAGGAUUUUGGUAAUUGGUAUAGACCAAAUAACAAGUUAGGCAUAAUUUGUAUUAGUACUAAUGCCAUUUCCAAUUUGUUGUUUAAUUCAAAUGGGCAAAAAGAAAGUCCUGUUCUGAAGAUGCCUGCCAAUAAUCAUGUUAACUGCUUGUAUUGCCACGGCUUGCUGCAUGCUUCGACCUUAAAAAUUAAGGAAAAUAUCUUCAUACUCCUUAUUUUCAAGUUUCAUAUGUCAAUAGACCUAAGAUCUUGUAGCAUAGAAAUCUUAGCCCUUUCUAAGCCCUUCAAGCUGCAUUGCGUUAAUCUUGUAAAGUACUCUCUCCUAAAAGAAUUGGAUUGUAGACCAGGUAAUGCACUAAAAUGAAUGGAAGCAAACUAAAGUAUAAGAAAAGGGAGUGUAUGGUAUGGGACCAUUUACCUUUGUUACAAGAAGGUCACAGCUACCCCUAGAUAUCAAAUGUUGUCAAAUUGGACAACUUCGGAUAUGUGACAAAGUUCGAGAAUUUUUUUCGAAUUGAGCCUAAUCAAUGACUCAUUGACAGUUAUUAUGACCUCCUUAUGCUAAAAGCAAAUGUUCAUUUUGCAUACAUUAGCUCUUCCCUCCUCUAGAUAACCAAUAGGACACUUCCAACUCCAGACAGGCAAGUAGUGUUACUAUUCUCAGGGUUUAGGCAUCUAGGAUUGGCACUUAUGGCACAAGGACCAAUAUUCUAAACUCCGCAGGAUUAAAUCCAAGCUUUUACAAAACAGUUUUAGAUUUAGCUGCUUAGAUUAGAUGUUAGCGCCAAGGACCACCAUGCUACUGCUUGGAGUUUGAAAUUUGAAUUGAUGAAAACCCAAAGUGGUUUGGGCACCUUUGGGGAAUCUCAAAUCCCAUUGAUAAGCUACCCCCUUACUAAGAGGGUACCGAUUCAUAUCGAAUAGACAAAAGUUCAAAGCAACAGAUCAUCUACUACUAGUUCUGAAUAUUGAAGACAGUUCAAUCCUGAAAGGCUUAUCUGAUGCAUCUUCAAAAGGAUAACUAUUCUUUUAAUUCCAAAGCAUGAGUCACAAGCCCAAGGUUGAGGAAAAGAACUCCAAACCAUUAACUACAAAGAAGAGAUUUACAUGUUACCAAGAAUGGUUGCCACUAGACAGAAGCCCAAAGACCCAGACUCGUAGAAAAAUGCUCAUCUCUAUGCAUUUUCAUUAAAAGAAGUCACAUAUUCAUUUAAAAAAGAAUAUGAAGGGAGCAUGAAUCCAAAACAGCUUAUUGUGAAAAUUACCAGCAAGAAUAAAUUAGUUGUUAUCAUCAAAGAAACCUUUGUCCUCAAAUUUUACGAAGCUCCACCCGAUGCCUGUGAAUCUUUCAAGAGUUUCUCAAGCAAAAGGAGGUUUGCAUAUGAACCUUUGAAGGGAAAUUCAAAAUUGCUGAACUUGGAGCCAAUUGAUCGCUCCUGUGUACAAACCCAAUAGUUUAUCACAUACUUGCUCGUUGCAGGCUCCUCAAUCAGUUUUAGGCAGCUACUGCUUAGUUGAAGGUCUAGAUGAGGCAACUAGUCUAUGCCAGGGAAAAAAAGCUGGAGUCGCUUGCACCAACUGAAGGGUCCUAAGAACUCUUCCUGCCAUAUCACAGGGGAAAACCAAUAGAAGGUAUAAAUAGUUAGAAUCAGUGUUUCAAAAAAUGGAUUAGUGGGGCGGAUCCCCUACCAACUGAUCCCAAUCCAGAUCAACCGAAUCAACAAUUAGGAUUGUCUAGAUUAGCGAUUAGGAAAAAUACAUAAUAAAAAAUAAAUAAUAAAAUAUAUACGAUAUAUUUGUCAAAAUAUUGUCAUAAGUGCUUCAACACAACAUGUUGGCUAGACUUUGUGCCUUUGAAGCGCAAGGUCAGGGCAUGAAUCCCCCACUAUUUUGUUUCUCGUCUAACUUUCGAAAAAAGCUCCUAAAAAAUAGAGCUAUUUAAAAUUCUUUAAAAGGAGAAUUGGAUAUAACAACUAAUAUACUAAAACCAUAGUUACCGGAAGUGCCCCGUUUAAGUAAGAGCCAAGAAGAUUUUAGAAAAAUUCAACAUUUUCGUGUAGAGGAUGUGAAACGGGUCCCAAC
rnacentral:lncRNA from 1 species